CGUCCACCCACUUGGUUGGGGGAGCCGAGCUCUUUCGGCAGGACGUACUCGGGACUGGCAAGAGCCAGGGUGUGGGGCUCCCACAGCCUUCUUGAACUCUACGUGCAGUUAGACGGUGGAAGGAACAAAAGAUACUCCUCGUCUGUAAAAUGCCAUGAAAGCACCACGGCUGACGUAAGAAUCAGCUGUAUCCCGGCUUGGAAGAGUGGGUGCAAGGUAGGUGUGACAAAGAAGAGGAGCUUGAAACUGCCUCCUGUUCCAGCCUAAUCGGACAGCUGCUUCUGUUUUCAGGGAGAUCACUAACCUGCCUGUUCAACGGAAUCUAAGACUUGUCAUCUGUGCUGUGAGGACCUGAUGAAAAUGCGGGAGGUGCACUGUGCAAAGACACAGCUCCAAGAGGGACAUCAGCCCUGGGCAUCUUCUUUGUGACUGGAUCUGCCUCUAGGGCGCUGCUUUCACAUUCUCUAGAUCUACUUCUCCAACCAUGCAAUGGGGCCAACGGGACACCCACUGCAGGGAGUCAGAGGAGAUACUGUCAUAGAAGUCCCCUGCAGCGAAGGGUCAGCCUUGAGGUUCUCAGAGUCCUCUGGUAAUGCACAAUAGAUCAGGCCCUCAUGAU
rnacentral:lncRNA from 1 species